rnacentral:rRNA from 1 species
UACAGAGGGGGCAAGCGUUAUUCGGAAUUAUUGGGCGUAAAGGGCGCGUAGGCGGCCUGGCAAGUGGAAGGUGAAAUCCCUCGGCUUAACCGAGGAACUGCCCUCCAAACUGCUUGGCUUGAGUUCGGGAGAGGGAUGCGGAAUUCCAGGUGUAGCGGUGAAAUGCGUAGAUAUCUGGAGGAACACCGGUGGCGAAGGCGGCAUCCUGGACCGACACUGACACUGAGGAGCGAAAGCCAGGGGAGCAAACGGG